rnacentral:rRNA from 1 species
UACGUAGGGUGCAAGCGUUAAUCGGAAUUACUGGGCGUAAAGCGUGCGCAGGCGGUUGUGCAAGACAGAUGUGAAAUCCCCGGGCUCAACCUGGGAAUUGCAUUGUGACUGCACGGCUAGAGUGUGUCAGAGGGGGGUAGAAUUCCACGUGUAGCAGUGAAAUGCGUAGAGAUGUGGAGGAAUACCGAUGGCGAAGGCAGCCCCCUGGGA